rnacentral:rRNA from 1 species
GACGAACGCUGGCGGCGUGCUUAACACAUGCAAGUCGAACGGAAAGGCCCUUCGGGGUACUCGAGUGGCGAACGGGUGAGUAACACGUGGGUGAUCUGCCCUGCACUUUGGGAUAAGCCUGGGAAACUGGGUCUAAUACCGAAUAGGACCACGCGCUUCAUGGUGUGUGGUGGAAAGCUUUUGCGGUGUGGGAUGGGCCCGCGGCCUAUCAGCCUGUUGGUGGGGUAAUGGCCUACCAAGGCGACGACGGGUAGCCGGCCUGAGAGGGUGACCGGCCACACUGGGACUGAGAUACGGCCCAGACUCCUACGGGAGGCAGCAGUGGGGAAUAUUGCACAAUGGGCGCAAGCCUGAUGCAGCGACGCCGCGUGAGGGAUGACGGCCUUCGGGUUGUAAACCUCUUUCAAUAGGGACGAAGCGCAAGUGACGGUACCUAUAGAAGAAGCACCGGCCAACUACGUG